rnacentral:rRNA from 1 species
UACGGGAGGCAGCAGUGGGGAAUAUUGCACAAUGGGCGAAAGCCUGAUGCAGCGACGCCGCGUGAGGGAUGACGGCCUUCGGGUUGUAAACCUCUUUCAGCAGGGAAGAAGCGAAAGUGACGGUACCUGCAGAAGAAGCGCCGGCUAACUACGUGCCAGCAGCCGCGGUAAUACGUAGGGCGCAAGCGUUGUCCGGAAUUAUUGGGCGUAAAGAGCUCGUAGGCGGUCUGUCGCGUCGGAUGUGAAAGCCCGGGGCUUAACCCCGGGUCUGCAUUCGAUACGGGCAGACUAGAGUGUGGUAGGGGAGAUCGGAAUUCCUGGUGUAGCGGUGAAAUGCGCAGAUAUCAGGAGGAACACCGGUGGCGAAGGCGGAUCUCUGGGCCAUUACUGACGCUGAGGAGCGAAAGCGUGGGGAGCGAACAGGAUUAGAUACCCUGGUAGUCCACGCCGUAAACGGUGGGAACUAGGUGUUGGCGACAUUCCACGUCGUCGGUGCCGCAGCUAACGCAUUAAGUUCCCCGCCUGGGGAGUACGGCCGCAAGGCUAAAACUCAAAGGAAUUGACGGGGGCCCGCACAAGCAGCGGAGCAUGUGGCUUAAUUCGACGCAACGCGAAGAACCUUACCAAGGUUUGACAUACACCGGAAAGCAUUAGAGAUAGAGCCCCCCUUGUGGUCGGUGUACAGGUG